CAUAAAGAUUCUUCGGAUGAUUUAUUGGGCGGCGAGCGGCGGACGGGUGAGUAAUGCCUAGGAAAUUGCCCUGAUGUGGGGGAUAACCAUUGGAAACGAUGGCUAAUACCGCAUGAUGCCUACGGGCCAAAGAGGGGGACCUUCGGGCCUCUCGCGUCAGGAUAUGCCUAGGUGGGAUUAGCUAGUUGGUGAGGUAAGGGCUCACCAAGGCGACGAUCCCUAGCUGGUCUGAGAGGAUGAUCAGCCACACUGGAACUGAGACACGGUCCAGACUCCUACGGGAGGCAGCAGUGGGGAAUAUUGCACAAUGGGCGCAAGCCUGAUGCAGCCAUGCCGCGUGUAUGAAGAAGGCCUUCGGGUUGUAAAGUACUUUCAGCAGUGAGGAAGGUUCAUGCGUUAAUAGCGUAUGGAUUUGACGUUAGCUGCAGAAGAAGCACCGGCUAACUCCGUGCCAGCAGCCGCGGUAAUACGGAGGGUGCGAGCGUUAAUCGGAAUUACUGGGCGUAAAGCGCAUGCAGGUGGUUAGUUAAGUCAGAUGUGAAAGCCCGGGGCUCAACCUCGGAAUUGCAUUUGAAACUGGCUGACUAGAGUACUGU
rnacentral:rRNA from 1 species